AAAAGGCAUGGUCCCGACCUUACUAUCAGCUGUAACACAAUUUACACAUGCAAGUCUCCGCCACCCAGGUGAGUAUGCCCUCAGUCCCCCCGCCCGGAGACGAGGAGCGGGCAUCAGGCACAAUCGUUAGCCCAAGACGCCUAGCCAAGCCACACACCCCAAGGGAAUUCAGCAGUGAUUAACAUUAAGCCAUAAGUGAAAACUUGACUCAGUUAGUGUUAAUAGGGCCGGUAAAACUCGUGCCAGCUACCGCGGUUAGACGAGAGGCCCUAGUUGAUAUUACAACGGCGUAAAGGGUGGUUAAGGACAAACAAAUUUUUAAAGCCAAAGGCCCCUUGGCCGUCAUACGCUCCUGGAAGCCCGAAGCCCAAUACACGAAAGUAGCUUUAAUAAA
rnacentral:rRNA from 1 species